rnacentral:rRNA from 1 species
UACGAAGGGGGCUAGCGUUGCUCGGAAUUACUGGGCGUAAAGCGCACGUAGGCGGCUUUCUAAGUCGGGGGUGAAAUCCUGGAGCUCAACUCCAGAACUGCCUUCGAUACUGGAGAGCUCGAGUCCGGGAGAGGUGAGUGGAACUGCGAGUGUAGAGGUGAAAUUCGUAGAUAUUCGCAAGAACACCAGUGGCGAAGGCGGCUCACUGGCCCGGUACUGACGCUGAGGUGCGAAAGCGUGAGGAGCAAACAGG